GAUGAACGCUGGCGGCGUGCUUAACACAUGCAAGUCGAACGGAAAGGCCCAAGCUUGCUUGGGUACUCGAGUGGCGAACGGGUGAGUAACACGUGGGUGAUCUGCCCUGCACUUCGGGAUAAGCCUGGGAAACUGGGUCUAAUACCGGAUAGGACCACUUCUUGGAUGUUGUGGUGGAAAGUUUUUUCGGUGUGGGAUGAGCUCGCGGCCUAUCAGCUUGUUGGUGGGGUAAUGGCCUACCAAGGCGUCGACGGGUAGCCGGCCUGUGAGGGUGUACGGCCACAUUGGGACUGAGGUAAGGCCCAGACUGCUACGGGAGGCAGCAGUGGGGAAUAUUGCACAAUGGGCGCCAGCCUGAUGCAGCGACGCCGCGUGGGGGAUGACGGCCUUCGGGUUGAAAACUCCUUGCGCUAGGGACGAAGCGUUUUGUGACGGUACCUGGAGAAGAAGCACCGGCUAACUACGUG
rnacentral:rRNA from 1 species